rnacentral:rRNA from 1 species
UUGGAGGGCAAGUCUGGUGCCAGCAGCCGCGGUAAUUCCAGCUCCAAUAGCGUAUAUUAAAGUUGUUGCAGUUAAAAAGCUCGUAGUUGAAUUUCGGGAUUGACUCGAUGGUCGUGCCUUAAGGGGUAUGAACUGUCGUUGUUGAUUUCUCACCUUCUGGAGAAGCUCGAUGUCCUUAAUUGGAUGUCUUGUGGAACCAGGACCUUUACCUUGAAAAAAUUAGAGUGUUUAAAGCAGGCAUUUUGCUCGAAUACAUUAGCAUGGAAUAAUAGAAUAGGACGGCAUGGUUCUAUUUUGUUGGUUUCUAGGAUCACCGUAAUGAUUAAUAGGGAUAGUUGGG